GCAGCUGGAUAGCUCAGUUGGCUAGAGCGUGGUACUGAUAAAGUCAAGGUUGCAGGUUCAAUCCCUGUAAGGGACAGCUGUA